UCUCAGGGACUGGUUUGCUGCAUCUCCUUCUAACACAUUGUAUCGAGAAUCUAUAAUCACAUUCAGUGUGAAUAUAGGCACGGAAGAGGAGGACAACUGUAGCAGCUUUACUAUGCGUAAGAGUGAAACAGCACUAAUCCAAAUAAAAAAGAUGGUGUCGUCACUUCGCUCUGAAUGACACUCUCUCUAUGCUAAUAUUUAACUCUAUGAUAUGGAUCCAAAUGCAAAAUUUUUUUCCUACGAUGAUCCUCUCGUGUUAUUUUUAUUUAGUCACUGACGUCACUGUUUACAUUGACAUUUAUUUGUAAAUGUUUUUAGACGAAUAUUCUGUUUGGUUUUGUUUUUUAUUGUUAAUUGUGCAGCGAAAUUGUGAUAGUAAAUUAAAUAUAAAGUUGUUUAUAGCCUACAGAACUGAAUUAUCCCAUAGUAAUUAUCAGUUUGUGUGUAAAAAAGAAAAAACACUUUUCCUUGUGUUUGACCGACUUGUAGCAAGGGCUUUCUUGAGAAGCCUGUAAAUUGCGGGAAUAGGACAGACAGGGAUAAAAUCCUCACUUUUUACUGUUCCCAAGGCUAUACAUUUCCCCCAUGCAAUACAUUUAAAUGAAUUUUAUCCAAACAAAGGCAGGAACAUUGGAUAAAAGCAAUAAAGAGAACAGACCACAAAUUAAAAUAUGACAGUAUGCAGUAAACAUUUAAUAAGUGGAAUAAACACCAGCUAUUUUAAAUGUAGGAAAAGGAGAAACUGCUGGAACCUAAUUUUACACAAAUGUUUUUGACUAUUGAAGAUUUGGAUAAACAACAGAAGUUACUUUGGGCUAUAGCUAUGUGCAGAUUUAUUUCCUUGUGGAUUACUAUGUUUAUUCUUUUUAACUAUACUUCCUAUAUUGUUUGUGAGAUUAAUAUUAUAUUUAAUUGAUUAUAUUAAUAUUUUGUAAUAAUAAUCAAUGCUUUGGUUUAACAAAAUAGACAACUUAGAAUAGAACAA